GACGAACGCUGGCGGCGUGCCUAAUACAUGCAAGUCGAGCGGAAGUUGGAGAGCUUGCUCUUCAACUUUAGCGGCGGACGGGUGAGUAACACGUGGGCAACCUGCCCUGCAGAUCGGGAUAACUCCAGGAAACCGGUGCUAAUACCGAAUAGUUUUCGCCACCUCCUGGUGGCGUACGGAAAGACGGUUUCGGCUGUCACUGCAGGAUGGGCCCGCGGCGCAUUAGCUAGUUGGUGGGGUAACGGCCCACCAAGGCGACGAUGCGUAGCCGACCUGAGAGGGUGAUCGGCCACACUGGGACUGGGACACGGCCCAGACUCCUACGGGAGGCAGCAGUAGGGAAUCUUCCGCAAUGGACGAAAGUCUGACGGAGCAGCGCCGCGUGAGUGACGAAGGUUUUCGGAUCGUAAAACUCUGUUGUGAGGGAAGAACAAGUACCACUUAACUACUGGUACCUUGACGGUACCUCACCAGAAAGCCACGGCUAACUACGUGCCAGCAGCCGCCGUAACAC
rnacentral:rRNA from 1 species